CCUACGGGGGGCUGCAGUGGGGAAUAUUGGACAAUGGGGGGAACCCUGAUCCAGCCAUGCCGCGUGUGUGAAGAAGGCCCUCGGGUUGUAAAGCACUUUCAGUGAGGAAGAACGCCUGGUGGUUAAUACCCAUCAGGAAAGACAUCACUCACAGAAGAAGCAUCGGCUAACUCCGUGCCAGCAGCCGCGGUAAUACGGAGGGUGCGAGCGUUAAUCGGAAUUACUGGGCGUAAAGCGCGCGUAGGUGGCUUGAUAAGCCGGUUGUGAAAGCCCCGGGCUCAACCUGGGAACGGCAUCCGGAACUGUCUAGCUAGAGUGCAGGAGAGGUAGGUGGAAUUCGCGGUGUAGCGGUGAAAUGCGUAGAGAUCGGGAGGAAUACCAGUGGCGAAGGCGGCCUUCUGGACUGCCACUGACACUGAGGUGCGAAAGCGUGGGUAGCAAACAGGAUUAGAUACCCUUGUAGUC
rnacentral:rRNA from 1 species